GAUGAAGAACGUAGCGAAAUGCGAUACGUAAUGUGGAUUGCAGAAUUCAGUGAAUCAUCGAAUCUUUGAACGCACAUUGCGCCCGCCAGCACUCUGGCGGGCAUGCCUGUUCGAGCGUCAUUUCAACCAUCAAGCCCCAGGCUUGCGUUGGAGCCCUGCGGCUGCCGCAGCCUCCUAAAAGCAGUGGCGGGCUCGCUAUCACACCGAGUGCAGUAGAUUACUCUUCGCUCAGGGCGUGCAGCGGGUUCCGGCCGUGAAACCCCCUACUUUUAAAGGUUGACCUCGGAUCAGGUAGGAAUACCCGCUGAACUUAAGCAUAUCAAUAAGCGGAGGA
rnacentral:misc_RNA from 1 species